GAUGAAGAACGCAGCGAAAUGCGAUAAGUAAUGUGAAUUGCAGAAUUCAGUGAAUCAUCGAAUCUUUGAACGCACCUUGCACCCUUUGGUAUUCCGAAGGGUAUGCUCGUUUGAGUGUCAUUGUGCUCUCACACUUCUAAUUCCUUUCGGGAUUGGGAGCGGUGGACUUGGGUGUUGCUGCUUUAGUUGUGGCUCACCUCAAAUAAGUUAGUGCAACUCUUGGUUGGACAUAGUACGGCGUGAUAAGUGUCUUCGCCGGCGCCUCUGUAAGGAGGGUGGCCGAUCGGGAGCUCUGUGCUUCAAACCGUCUUCGGACAAUCUUUGACAACUUGACCUCAAAUCGAGUAGGACUACCCGCUGAACUUAAGCAUAUCAAUAAGCGGAGGA
rnacentral:misc_RNA from 1 species